GCUCGAGUUGUGGAACAGGUAGACGCACAGGAUUUAAGAUUCUGCGGAAGAAACUCCGUAUCGGUUCGAAUCGGAUUUCGAGCA
rnacentral:tRNA from 1 species